UCAGUAGGUCGGUCUAUCGCUUUUUAAAGAGGAAAGUCCGGGCAAUAAAGAGCACCAUGCUUCCUAACGGGAAGACCGCCGCGAGGUGGUAGUAACAUAACAGAAAACAACCGCCUGAAAAGGUAAGGGUGAAAAGGUGGGGUAAGAGCCUACCAGGUCUCUGGUGACAGACGACGCUGUAUGUCUGAUGGAUUGUAAGACCAUGUAUAUUCCGAUUGCGCAAGCAUCGUGGCUGCUCGCUGCGUCGAAAGGUCGGAAGGGGUAGGUCGCUAGAGGCCGCAGGUGACUGCGGUCCAAGAUAAAUGAUAGACACUUCGGCUUGCCGAAGUACAGAACUCGGCUUAUAGACUUGCUGGUGUU
rnacentral:RNase_P_RNA from 1 species